rnacentral:sRNA from 1 species
AUAUCGAAUUUCCGGGUAUUCAGCUUUUUAUGCUGACUUUCAUUCGCAACAGUAUUACUACUUUGGAGGGAGGGGGUAUUGCGUCGUAUCAAUUCACAGACAUAAAAAAAGCGCCCGCAGGCGCUUUUUUAUU